CAGCAGCCGCGGUAAAACGAAGGGGGCUAGCGUUGUUCGGAUUUACUGGGCGUAAAGCGCACGUAGGCGGACUUUUAAGUCAGGGGUGAAAUCCCGGGGCUCAACCCCGGAACUGCCUUUGAUACUGGAAGUCUUGAGUAUGGUAGAGGUGAGUGGAAUUCCGAGUGUAGAGGUGAAAUUCGUAGAUAUUCGGAGGAACACCAGUGGCGAAGGCGGCUCACUGGACCAUUACUGACGCUGAGGUGCGAAAGCGUGGGGAGCAAACAGGAUUAGAUACCCCAGUAGUCCCUGUCUCUUAUAC
rnacentral:rRNA from 1 species